AGACAUCAAUACAGAGCACAUGUGAAAUUCUAUCUGUGUAAUGAAGUGAAAUUCUUUGACUACACUGUUUCCAGUGUAAACUACUGAACUUGCAAACACCAAGUUGCGUGGGAGAUAAGCCAAGGUGAUGAAGUCCGAGCAAGAUGAGGAAGCACAAAGACUGUGGCAAAUUCUCCAAGGAAAACAUCUACAAGAGAGCAGAGAACAAGGCUGUCCUGAGCUAAUUUAUGCUCUUCAUUGGAAACAUUGAUGGCUGGCACUGAGAGCAAAACAAGAAAACUGGGCAAAUUCGGAGGAUCCUGUUAUCUUUAAUAUGUUUCUAGCAAUGCCUUUCAUGAGAAUUUUAGAUCUUCAUGAAUUUGAAAAUAGAGGUAAUAAACCAGAUAAGUAUAGUGAAAACUUGAAAUAAAAGUGGGAAUUUUAAUUUGGUUCUGAAAUGACCACUUAG